GGAGCCUACGGCUUAAUUUGAUUCAACACGGGGGAACUCAGCUGGUACACACAUAAAAGGAUUGAAAAAUCACCUUUUCAGUUGGGUCAAGCUUCGGCUUUUCUGUCUUCCUAAAUAUACUACCUGCGCUAAGCAGGGUGAUGUUGGGCAAUAACAGGUCUAUCAUGCCCUUAGAUGUUCUGGGCCGCACAUGCGCUACACUGACAUAGUUAAUGAGUAUAUAACCAUGGCUAAUAAGCUUGGGUACUCUUUUAAAGCUAUUUCGUACUGGGAAUUGAGGUAUGUAGCAAGGUUUCUGUACG
rfam:Phycomyces blakesleeanus NRRL 1555(-) unplaced genomic scaffold PHYBLscaffold_1, whole genome shotgun sequence.